rnacentral:rRNA from 1 species
GACAACUCGGGGAAACCCGGGCUAAUACCGCAUAAUCUCUACGGAGGAAAGAGGGCCUCUACUUGUAAGCUCUCGCUAAUGGAUGAGCCCAAGUCAGAUUAGCUAGUUGGUAGGGUAAUGGCUUACCAAGGCUACGAUCUGUAGCUGGUCUGAGAGGAUGAUCAGCCACACUGGGACUGAGACACGGCCCAGACUCCUACGGGAGGCAGCAGUGGGGAAUAUUGCACAAUGGGCGCAAGCCUGAUGCAGCAAUGCCGCGUGUGUGAAGAAGGCUCUAGGGUUGUAAAGCACUUUCAAUAGAGAAGAAAAGCUUGAAGUUAAUACCUUCAAGCCUUGACGUAACCUAUACAAGAAGCACCGGCUAAUUCCGUGCCAGCAGCCGCGGUAAUACGGGAGGUGCGAGCGUUAAUCGGAAUUACUGGGCGUAAAGCGAGCGUACGCUGUUAAAUAAGUCGAAUGUGAAAUCCCCGGGCUUAACCUGGGAACUGCACUCGAAACUAUUUAACUAGAGUAUGGGAGAGGAAAGUAGAAUUUCCGGUGUAGCGGUGAAAUGCGUAGAUAUCGGAAGGGAAUACCAGUGGCGAAGGCGGCUUUCUGGAACAAUACUGACGCUGAUGUUCGAAAGCGUGGGGAGCAAACAGGAUUAGAUA